GUGAGCUUAUUCAGCAGCGAGUCUCAGAGGCUGAAAAUAUUCUAGACCUAGAUAAGAUUGUACAGAGGCUAGAAGCUUCCAGGACUAGCGUAGGUUAGCAGACAGAGGCAGCAAGCCUCGGAGACAACGAUCACCUCAGAUCACGCCACCUCAGGAAACAGCUGAAAAUAGAGGCGAACCCAGCAUGUUAGUGGGUCAGAAGACUGUGAUGACGUGGGCACAAGCAUGCCACGUGACUGCGAUGACGUAGCACGCAAGCACACCACAUGGCUGAGAUGACAAAGCACGCAGGCACGCCGUGUAGCUGAGGUGACAAAGCAUGCCUGCCCCCAAUGAUUCAUCUUAUUGCUUGUCAACAUUGGAACAGCACCUCGCACAUAAGCCAUGCCACCUUUCGCAGUUAGUGCAUCUCUUGACACAUAAAUACGGUUACUAACUCAGAGACUGGGAAAGCCCCGAGGCUACCGUUCACCUUAUAGACCUGCAGCCAUGGAGAAAGAAGGCUUUCUUUCAGCAACAUGUGGGCUGCCCCUAGAGAUGAAGAAACUGAGGCUGAGAAGAGCAAGACUAAUAGCCAGCGGGCUAAAGAGAUGGUUAAGAAUACUGACUGCUUUUCUGAAGGUCCUGAGUUCAAAUCCCAGCAACCA